rnacentral:rRNA from 1 species
CGCGCAGGCGGUCGUUCAAGUCGAGUGUGAAAGCCCCCGGCUCAACUGGGGAGGGUCACUCGAUACUGAUCGACUCGAAGGCAGGAGAGGGAAGCGGAAUUCCCGGUGUAGUGGUGAAAUGCGUAGAUAUCGGGAGGAACACCAGUGGCGAAGGCGGCUUUCUGGCCUGUUCUUGACGCUGAGGCGCGAAAGCUAGGGUAGCAAACG